ACACCAGAAAGGAGGUGAUCCAGUGGGCAUAUCAAACUGGACAGGUGAGGUGAUUGUAACGUAGGCGUUGCCCUGCGCAGGCGAACGCCCGGGGUUUCGUCUACGGAAUCCCAGCAAUCGCCGGGCCUCGAAGCCCCCGGCCUUGUCCACCGGGGCGGCCAGUUUGCCGCGAACGCUUUGAGGCCCUUUUUC
rnacentral:sRNA from 1 species